rnacentral:lncRNA from 1 species
ACUACAUCCAACUAAAACAAUCAAGGAAGUUUUGUUUUAUUAGUGUUACGAGGUUUCCUCGACUAAUGUCUCAGUGACUUCAGAAGUAGCCUUUCAGAGAGAAAUUAUAUUUUGCAGAGUCCUUGAGUGGUAGGGCAACUGGUGGCAGAUUUUAUGGAGGACCAUCAAAAGGAGUAGUUGAAGUAAAGUCUCAAGAAUCAUGGGAAGCAUCCAAAUCAAGUUACACAGAGUAGGAUGGCGUAGGAACUAGAAGAAAAUGUGAUAAAUAUUUGGUGUCAUGAGAUGAAGAAAAUCAACCAUAAUGAGGAAAGAAGAUCCUGAUAGUCUGUGGGCAAUUGCAUCAAUUUGCCUUUCCAGGAGGACAACCCUGCAUACAAUUAAAGUCCCAAGUAAUCAAGAGAAUGAAGAGUUUUUAACAGAAAAUGGAUGUGUAGCCUAUGUAAAAUCUAUAAGCCAAACCAACCUUUGACAUUUUAAACGGAAAUUGUGUAAAGAACUGACUGAAAGAUAGACUUAAGUUUUCUCCUCCUCACACAAAAGUUGAAAAGUGACUGAUGCCAUCAAUGGUUGUCUGGUUGUUUUAUUAUGUGCAAUUAAAAAUCAGAACUGAUUCGACUGGCAGUUUUCACAUUAUGUAAACACAAUGGAAGGGGACAUAAUUCCAAUUGCUCCCUUCUGGAAUGUUUUAUGCCUACAGGCACAAGGAAGCUGGACCUUGGACAGCACAACUGCUAUUUGCCAAGUUGAGGAAAAGAAAAAAAAAAUGACUGUCUACCAGGAGUUGGAGCAGUUUUUAGAUGCUGUCAUCCUUAUUAUGCACCCUUGUGGAUUUGGAGGAGGUGGUGGGGUUCUUGACGCACAUCAUUUGCUUCCACAAAUCUCCAAAGUGAUGUCUCCUUUCCUAGAGCUGCUUUCCCAGCUGGCUCCAAUGGUUGAAGUUAAAAGGUUUAAAAAUCCCAUUAAUUUGGCAGCCUGGGUGGCUCAGCGGUUUAGCUCCACCUUCAGCCCAGGGCAUGAUCCUGGAGACCUGGGAUUGAGUCCCACAUCCAGUUCCCUGCAUGGAACCUGCUUCUCCCUCUGCCUGUGUCUCUGCCUCUCUCUCUCUCUCUGUCUCUCAUGAAUAAAUAAAUAAAAUCUUAAAAAAAAAAUAAAAAUAAAAACCC